AGUGGCAGACGGGUGAGUAACGCGUGGGAACGUACCUUUCGCUACGGAAUAGCUCCGGGAAACUGGUGGUAAUACCGUAUACGCCCUCAGGGGGAAAGAUUUAUCGGCGAAAGAUCGGCCCGCGUUGGAUUAGCUAGUUGGUGAGGUAAUGGCUCACAAAGGCGACGAUCCAUAGCUGGUCUGAGAGGAUGAUCAGCCACACUGGGACUGAGACACGGCCCAGACUCCUACGGGAGGCAGCAGUGGGGAAUCUUGCACAAUGGGCGAAAGCCUGAUGCAGCCAUGCCGCGUGAAUGAUGAAGGCCUUAGGGUUGUAAAAUUCUUUCGUCAGGGAUGAUAAUGACCGUACCUGAAGAAGAAGCCCCGGCUAACUUCGUGCCAGCAGCCGCGGUAAUACGAAGGGGGCUAGCGUUGUUCGGAAUUACUGGGCGUAAAGCGCACGUAGGCGGACUUUUAAGUCAGGUGUGAAAUCCCGGGGCUCAACCUCGGAACUGCAUUUGAAACUGGAAGUCUUGAGACCAGGAGAGGUUAGCGGAAUACCGAGUGUAGAGGUGAAAUUCGUAGAUAUUCGGUGGAACACCAGUGGCGAAGGCGGCUAACUGGACUGGUACUGACGCUGAGGUGCGAAAGUGUGGGGAGCAAACAGGAUUAGAUACCCUGGUAGUCCACACCGUAAACGAUGAGAGCUAGUUGUU
rnacentral:rRNA from 1 species